rnacentral:tRNA from 1 species
GCCUUGGUGGUGAAAUUGGUAGACACGCACGACUCAAAAUCGUGUGGAGCAAUCCAUGCGGGUUCGACUCCCGCCCGAGGCACAA